rnacentral:rRNA from 1 species
AGCGCAGGCUGCUAGAUAAGUCAGAUGUGAAAGCCCGGGGCUCAACCCCGGAAGUGCAUUUGAAACUGUUUGGCUUGAGUAUGGUAGAGGGAAGUGGAAUUCCAGGUGUAGCGGUGAAAUGCGUAGAUAUCUGGAGGAACACUGGUGGCGAAGGCGACUUCCUGGAUCAAUACUGACGCUGAGGCUCGAAGGUGUGGGUAGCAAACAGGAUUAGAUACCCUGGUAGUCC